UACGGGGGGGGCAAGCGUUGUUCGGAAUUACUGGGCGUAAAGCGUGCGCAGGCGGUUUUGUAAGUCAGAUGUGAAAUCCCCGGGCUUAACCUGGGAACUGCGUUUGAAACUACAAGGCUAGAGUGUAGCAGAGGGGGGUGGAAUUCCACGUGUAGCAGUGAAAUGCGUAGAGAUGUGGAGGAACACCGAUGGUGAAGGCAGCCCCCUGGGCUAACACUGACGCUCAGGCACGAAAGCGUGGGGAGCAAACAGG
rnacentral:rRNA from 1 species